GAUGAACGCUGCCAGAAUGCUUAACACAUGCAAGUCUACUUGAACUUCGGUUUGGGUGGCGGACGGGUGAGUCACGCGUAAAGAACUUGCCUCACAGUUAGGGACAACAUUUGGAAACGAAUGCUAAUACCUGAUAUUAUGAUUUUAGGGCAUCCUAGGAUUAUGAAAGCUAUAUGUGCUGUGAGAGAGCUUUGCGUCCCAUUAGCUAGUUGGAGAGGUAACGGCUCACCAAGGCGAUGAUGGGUAGCCGGCCUGAGAGGGUGAACGGCCACAAGGGGACGGAGACACGGCCCUUACUCCUACGGGAGGCAGCAGUGGGGAAUAUUGGACAAGGGACCAAAAGUCUGAUCCAGCAAUUCUGUGUGCACGAUGACGUUUUUCGGAAUGUAAAGUGCUUUCAGUUGGGAAGAAAAAAAUGACGGUACCAACAGAAGAAGUGACGGCUAAAUACGUG
rnacentral:rRNA from 1 species